rnacentral:rRNA from 1 species
GAUGAACGCUGGCGGCGUGCCUAAUACAUGCAAGUCGAGCGAACGGACGAGAAGCUUGCUUCUCUGAUGUUAGCGGCGGACGGGUGAGUAACACGUGGAUAACCUACCUAUAAGACUGGGAUAACUUCGGGAAACCGGAGCUAAUACCGGAUAAUAUUUUGAACCGCAUGGUUCAAAAGUGAAAGACGGUCUUGCUGUCACUUAUAGAUGGAUCCGCGCUGCAUUAGCUAGUUGGUAAGGUAACGGCUUACCAAGGCAACGAUGCAUAGCCGACCUGUGAGGGUGAGUGGCCACGCUGGAACUGAGACACGGUCCAGACUCCUACGGGAGGCAGCAGUAGGGAAUCUUCCGCAAUGGGCGAAAGCCUGACGGAGCAACGCCGCGUGAGUGAUGAAGGUCUUCGGAUCGUAAAACUCUGUUAUUAGGGAAGAACAUAUGUGUAAGUAACUGUGCACAUCUUGACGGUACCUAAUCAGAAAGCCACGGCUAACUACGUG